CUCUCAUUCACACCUUCUUUUUAUCUCCUAGCAGGGUACAGCAGGGUUUAGCAGGGUAGGGACAGCAGGGGCCAGGCAAGGGAUCGGAAACUAAGGGAAGGGGAUUUAGUGGUAUGGAAGGCACGGAGACACUACACAUUAAGAGGAGUGGAAGAAAUCAAAUCUCAAGUUCCAUUUCCUUCAAAGACUUCAUGGGAGAGGGAGGGAAGGCAAGGGAAGUGGGAGUGUUUAGGAGUCUUAUGGAACUCGGCAGAAGUGACAGACAGGAACAGGACAGUAAAGGAGGGAAGGAAUCAUAUCUCAAGUUCCAUUUCCUUCAAAGACUUCAUGAGAGAGAGAGGGAAGGCAAGGGAAGUGGGAGUGUUUAGGAGUCUUAUGGAACUUGGCAGAAGAGAGACAGACAUAGACACAGGACAGUAAAGGAGGGAAGGAGUCAAAUCUUAAGGUUCGUACUUCCUUCAAAGACUUCAUUGGAGAGGGAGGGAAGGCAAGGGAAAUAGGAGUGUUUAGGAGUCUUAUGGAACUUGGCAGAAGAGAGACAGACAUAGACACAGGACAGUAAAGGAGGGAAGGAAUCAAGUCUUAAGGUUCGUACUUCCUUCAAAGACUUCAUGAAAGAGCGAGGGAAGGCAAGGGAAAUAGGAGUGUUUAGGAGUCUUAUGGAACUCGGCAGAAGUGACAGACAGGAACAGGACAAGAAAGGAGGGAAGGAAUCAAGUCUUAAGGUUCGUACUUCCUUCAAAGACUUCAUUGGAGAGGGAGGGAAGGCAAGGGAAAUAGGAGUGUUUAGGAGUCUUAUGGAACUAGACAGAAGAUAGACAGACAGGAACAGGAAAAUAAAGGAGGGAAGGAAUCAAGUCUUAAGGUUUGUACUUCCUUCAAAGACUUCAUUGGAGAGAGAGGGAAGGCAAGGGAAAUAGGAGUGUUUAGGAGUCUUAUGGAACUAGACAGAAGAUAGACAGACAGGAACAGGAAAAUAAAGGAGGGAAGGAAUCAAGUCUUAAGGUUUGUACUUCCUUCAAAGACUUCAUUGGAGAGAGAGGGAAGGCAAGGGAAGUGGGAGUGUUUAGGAGUCUUAUGGAACUAGACAGAAGAUAGACAGACAGGAACAGGAAAAUAAAGGAGGGAAGGAAUCAAGUCUUAAGGUUCUUACUUCCCUCAAACGCUUCACAAGAAAGAGAAAAGAAAAACAGGAGAGUACAAAGUCUUAUGUUACGAGGAAAAGGAAAGAAAACGGGGGAACUAUACUGAGGAGAAGAGGGAGGAAGAGGAAAACAGGGAUGACUGAUAAAUAGGAGAAGCUGAAGGAAUUAAAACAAGAGGAAAAAGGGACAAAAAACAGAAGAAAUUAUAUCAUACUAACUAGAGAGAGAGAAAGGAAAGAGAAACAGGAACAAGACACUAAAAGAGAAGAGGAAAAAGGGAGAAAAAAACAGAAGAAAUUAUAUCAUACUAACUAGAGAGAGAGAAAGGAAGAGAAACAGGAACAAAACACUAAAAGAGAAGAGGAAAAAGGGAGAAAAAAACAGAAGAAAUUAUAUCAUACUAACUAGAGAGAGAGAGAAAGGAAAGAGAAACAGGAACAAAACACUAAAAGAGAAGAGGAAAAAGGGAGAAAAAAACAAGAAAUUAUAUCAUACUAACUAGAGAGAGAAAGGAAAGAGAAACAGGAACAAAACACUAAAAGAGAAGAGGAAAAAGGGAGAAAAAAACAGAAGAAAUUAUAUCAUACUAACUAGAGAGAGAGAAAGGAAAGAGAAACAGGAACAAAACACUAAAAGAGAAGAGGAAAAAGGGACAAAAAACAGAAGAAAUUAUAUCAUACUAACUAGAGAGAAAGAGAAAGGAA